rnacentral:rRNA from 1 species
CUUCGCUCAAGGUUCAACUCACGGCCUAUCAUUUAGUUGGUGAUGUAACGGCUCACCAAGACGACGACGGGUAGCCGGCCUGAGAGGGUGACCGGCCACACUGGGACUGAGACACGGCCCAGACUCCUACGGGAGGCAGCAGUGGGGAAUAUUGCACAAUGGGCGCAAGCCUGAUGCAGCAACGCCGCGUGAGGGACGACGGCCUUCGGGUUGUAAACCUCUUUUAGCAGGGAAGAAGCGAAAGUGACGGUACCUGCAGAAAAAGCACCGGCUAACUACGUGCCAGCAGCCGCGGUAAUACGUAGGGUGCAAGCGUUGUCCGGAAUUAUUGGGCGUAAAGAGCUCGUAGGCGGUUUGUCACGUCUGCUGUGAAAUCCCGAGGCUCAACCUCGGGCUUGCAGUGGGUACGGGCAGACUAGAGUGCGGUAGGGGAGAUUGGAAUUCCUGGUGUAGCGGUGGAAUGCGCAGAUAUCAGGAGGAACACCGAUGGUUCAGGCAGAUCUCUGGGCCGUAACUGACGCUGAGGGAGCGAAAGCAUGGGGAGCAAACAGGCUUAGAUACCCUGGUAGUCCAUGCCGUAAACGUUGGGAACUAGAUGUGGGGACCAUUCCACGGUCUCC